ensembl:processed_transcript pluripotency associated transcript 14
GCAGGAGAGAGUUUUAGGUCUUUGGGAAUGGGGACAGCAUAUAUGUAAGAUGUAGCUGCUAGAGUUUCCUGGAAUCAUGGCGGAUCUGUAAGGAUUUGCCACCAGAGGAAUCAGAUUUUAAUAAGGCUUACAAGAUUAGGUUUUAGUUGUUGUGCCCAAAGAUUGAGUUACCAUUGUUUCUGAACUAAGUUUGUGUUGGCUUUUCCUUCACACAGUGGGGGCGGCUCAUCUGGGUUCAAGAGAGAAAGGUAUGCUGGCGGUAAAGCAUGGGUGUGCUAAACAUGCAACACAAAGGCUGUGGGGGAUUUGAAGCACAGGUGGGCUUGGGUUCAGACUACAAACUGCUUCUGUGUGACUAAGAAGAAUCAGAAUAAAGAGAAACAUACUCUCUUCCGAAGAUUAGGCAGGAGGAGCUCUAGAAUUUCACAAAGGUGCUGUCAGGACACAUGAAAAUCUGGGGAAAAAGACAGGCUUGAAGAGACCAAAAAGAAGAAAGCCUGCCAAUCACAUCCUCCAAGGAUUCUGAGACACACACACCCCUGGUGUAGGGGGAACAUCACCUGAAAGGUGACACCCACUCUAAGGAAUAUAAGUACCAGCUAAAAAGGACACACACUUGAAGAAAAAGGAGACAAUGAGGUCUUGUGAAUGCUCUAAUUUUUCAAAGCUUACUUUUAAUGAUGGUUCUUAAACGCUUUAACCUCCCUUCUAGUCCACCACCCACCAAAGGUAGUGGGAAAGAAAGGUGAUUAGGAUACAGGCAA